CUCUACGUGUCGAGUGGGAAGUUAUCUACAUGGAGAGGUCUUAUUCCGACAUCUUUCUUCUAAGAGUAGCACCACGUCUAGAAGAUCAACGAAUAAAUCUUUGUGAGUCUAUCGAACAUUAAGAUUUUUUAAAAUUGAAAGAAAUUCUUUUUGAAGAAGACAAAGGAUUAUGAAAAAAAUAUUCUCUUCAACCAAAUAGAAAAUUGCAUUAUUUAUAGACUUAUUCGUGACCAUUCGAAAAGUCAUAUCUUUUUCUAUAAUUUAGUUAUUAGUAUUUUCAUGAAAUGAUACAUCCACUCAUGAUGCAUCCAUUCAUGAAGAAACACAAACGAUUAACCAUUUAUUCCAAUAACUAUUACCAUUUAUCUAUGAUACAUCACAAUAAACUAAAAUGACUAUUAUCUAUGUCUAUCUACCAUCUACAAUAGUAGAUUAAGGGUCCGUUUGGAUUGAAUUAAAAACAAAAUCUUUUUCAAAGAAUACAUUUUGGGGCUCUUGCAAAUAUAGCGAAAUUAGGCCCAUGACACACUAUUUUUGAAUUUGCAAAAAUGACAAAAUUCAAACCCAACCCACAUUUGAAAAAUGCAAAAUUACAAACCUACCCUCUAGAAUUAUAAACAUUUUCACGCAUCAUUUGAUAUGUUGUUGAUACAUUUCGUGUGUUUUUGAUAUACUUCUUAUGCUUGUUGAUACACUCGAUGAAUUAAAUAACACUUGAUGUACAUAAUUGGUUUGAUACACUUAUAUAUGUUGUUGAUACAUUUGUAAUACACUCAAUUAAUUAAAUACAUUGAUGCACUAAAUAUAAUAUUUUUGUUGUAUUGAUACAUUUAUUAAAGGGGCACUUGCAAAAAUGACAAAAAUAAGUUAUAAUAAUUAAGUCCAUAACACAUAUACUUUAUUAUUUACGAAAAUAACAAAAACGAAGCCCAACCCACACAUUAAGAGGUAAAAUGUCACAAAUGUCUUCGUUACUAAUAUACGUUUGAUACACUUUAUACUAAUACACCUAAUAACACAUGAUACUUCUUGAUACACCUAAUACAUUUGAUUGAUACACUUGAUGCACCUGAUACUUUUUGAUACACUUGAUACCUUUUGAUAGACACCUGAAACAUUAUGUUUGAUACACUUGAUGCACUGCAUGUACAUUUAGUAUUCUUCAUUUAUACAAUUGAUUGAUUAAAUGCACUUGAUAUGCUUGAAGUCCUACUUAUACACUUGAUAUACUAUUGAUAUACACUUGUAAACUUGGUUCAUAUACUUGAUAAUGAUUCACUUUACUGAUAUGCUUUAACAAUAUAUUGUUGAUAUACUUGAUAAUGAUACACUAAGUUACAUCAUUCAUAUACUUAAUAAUACUCUAAUGAACUGUAUAUUAACCAACUAAUACAUAUAAUAUAAUUAUAUCACAACACUGACAUACAAAACUGAGACAAAGUAAAACAAAAAAAUUAAUGUAAAAAAAAUAAAACAAUAUCAUUUGGAAUCAAAUUCAACUCAAAAUACAUAUCGAAGAAAGUAAAAAAAAUCCCAAAUGAAGUUAAAUUACUUCAAUCAACAACUAUUAUAUUAUAUUAUUCAUAUUACAAUUAUUGUACUAUUGAUAUUUUAAACUUAAGAUUAAGACGUAAAUAAUAAAUAAUUUUUCUAGUAUAAGAAUAAACAAAUAAUUAGGGUCUUAAAAAGUGGAAGCAUAAAUAAAUAAUGAGUAGAUCAUUAAAAAAGGAAGAAAAAUAAGUUAUUGAAUGAUAGUUUAGAAAUAAUAUCAAAUUUAAGACGGGGAAGUGAAUUUUUUGUCAAAUUUGCAAAAACAACAAGUUAUAAUUACUAUAUCAUAUUAUCAAAAUGUUAUCCUAUGCAACUUUCCAUAUUAUGGCUGGUUUGUGACAAAAUUCUUAUUCCCAUUUUAACAACACGACUUUCAAAUUACAAUAUCUUAUGCUUUCAAUUUCAUAUUUAUCACUUCAAUAUAUAUACAUAUAAUUAAUUUUAGAAAAAAUGAAACAAAGUCAAUGGAUAUCUCAAUUCCUAUAUCAAGAAAUUAAAUUUCAAGUACGAUUUUCUUUAUAUAUAAAUAACCAUACUUCUUUAAACCAUAAUUAAAUUAUAUUCCUUCAAAAUUGAAGUUUGUGUGAUGGAUCUCUUGAUAAGUUAAUGAAUAUAAUUUCAUAGGACUUUUAAUUUGAAAAUUUUAUAGUACGUUUACUUUAACUUUUUCCGUAAUUAAUAUUGAAAAUGUUAUAUAAAUUAAAUUAUCUUACACCAAACUUAUUUAUAAAUUCCAAAGUUUUAUUUCUUUUAAAGUAUUGUAAUUAAUGGAGAGGUAGAGAGACAUGUGGACAAAAGGUGAGGUAAGCUGAUGUUAGCUAUAAAUUUCAAAGUUUCACAAACUUACAUUAUACUCCAAACCUAACUUAACUACCAACUUUAAUAUUACAUAAUAACUCCUCUUAUCUAAAUCUGUUUCUAUGUUAAAUAAAUUUAAGUUUAAAAUCAAAUUGUCACCCAAAAAAUAUUUAAUAAAUUAACGUAGAUCAUACCAAUUCUCUUUCUUCUCCCUCCCAUCUUUAUUGCUAUGUGUCUUGAAGAUACCGGCUCUUGCAACUUUUUCAACAUGUCUGUUAAUUUGAUAGUAUGUGGUUUCAUCUCAAAACCAAUUGACAAUGAGAGAAGUAGUUCAUCUAUCUUAUAUAAAAUAUGGGUCUUCUUAGUUUUUCCAAUAUGGAACUCUCAACUUUUCCACAAUAUAUGUAUUUGGUUUAAUUUGUGCAUAAAAAUGUUAUCAAUAAUGUACAAAAACUCUACAAAAAUUUAAUUGAUAAACAAUAAACUCAAUUCAAAAUUUGGAUGACAUCAAUUAAUUAAAAUUCA
rnacentral:lncRNA from 1 species